rnacentral:rRNA from 1 species
UACGUAGGGUGCAAGCGUUGUCCGGAAUUAUUGGGCGUAAAGAGCUCGUAGGCGGUUUGUCGCGUCGGCUGUGAAAACUGGAGGCUUAACCUUCAGCGUGCAGUCGAUACGGGCAGACUUGAGUUCGGUAGGGGAGACUGGAAUUCCUGGUGUAGCGGUGAAAUGCGCAGAUAUCAGGAGGAACACCGGUGGCGAAGGUGGGUCUCUGGGCCGAUACUGACGCUGAGGAGCGAAAGCGUGGGGAGCGAACAGG